rnacentral:lncRNA from 1 species
CAAGAAUUUAAUCUCAGUAUGCUUUUAGGUGAGAAGAAUCAGUAAAUUCCUUUCAAUACCAAAAAAGGAUGAGUUUUCCUGAUGCUGCACAACCACCACCUCUUCUUCCUCUACCUUUUGCCGGUGGAGAUGUUGAUAGGUUUUGGCCUUCAGCACCUAUGAAUGAUGCUGUUUCUCAAUUUGAGCAUUCAAGAGACCAAUGAAUUUCGAAAACAAUGCAUCAAAUUCUACAUCCUUUGCACAGAUGAAAUCCCAGUAUGACAUUACUAAAUCCUCGGAGACUAAAGGAACAAGCCAUUUAUUUUACAAGACUCGUAUUUGUGCAAAAAAAUCACCAAAGGUGCCUACAUGAUUUUAGCUGCCCUUAAAGGGGCCUGAUAUGGAUCCUUUAAAAAUAAUACUCAGCUGUCCAAGUGCAGCAGAUUUUUAAUUCUUUACUUUUUUGUUAAAAAAAUAAAUAAAUAAAAAGUUGAAUCGAUCAGACCACCUGAAAAGGGUAGAAACUUGUGCUGUGACUAAGCACACAAUUAUGUGCAAACAUGGAAUUAAAUUGCCUGUGAUGCCAUGACUUUAAAUUCUCAUCCACAAGACUCCGAAGUAGACUACCCAAAGAGUGAGUCACUCUGUGGAAACAACAGUAAAAUCCAAUCGAUAAAUCCAACAAAUGUAUAACUACAUACAUACAUGCAUUAUGCAUACGUUGGACAUACACACACACAAAGAGCAAGAGAAACUUGGGAGUUCCCAUAUUCACUUUCCUAAACAAUCUUGACAAAUAAAACAAUCUUUGUCGAAGCCUGGCACUAGGCAACGGUUAAUUCUUAUACCAGCUGCUAAGAAAGCGCGGCAAUUACAUUAAUAUCCCUGCCUUGUUUGGUUCCACGUCGCAAUUCCUGGGGUUUUCCUAAAGGGCUCACUGUUUUUCUUUAUUUCAUUUUACACCAUAAAAAUUUGUAGGGGUGUGCUUGAUUGCAAGGAAUUUGAAUGAAUAGUUUUAUUUGUUGGUCAAAGUAGUUAACAUUUUAGUGUGAAACCAUUGAAUGACUCUUUUGUAAGGAAAAUUGGUUGAAGCAAUCACGAUAAUGAAAUAUGUAUUUCUUGUAAAUUUCAUUUUAUAUAAUUUCAAGAAGUCUACGUUCAACACUUUUUACGCGUAAUUAUUAUUUUCGGUUUUUUACUUAUAUUUUUGUUGUACAAGUGAUCCCCUAAAUUUUUACACUCAACACAUACAUAUUAGUCAACAUAUGAUGGGAUUUGCAUGUGCAACUAACAAAACUUGUAAGUCAAUGAAUAUUUAAAUUUUCGACCUUGAAGUGUACAGGCUUUUCAUUUGUUACAAAACUUGUAGCCAACUUUUGUAGACUAGCAAGAUGCGAUUUAUUUAGGGAAACUUUUUUUAUUCAUAAAAUUCCAAAUCGAAAACAUGGAAUGGGUCGAUACUUUCAAUUAAGGACAUCAAAACCUGCCGUAUUGAUUAGGUAGGUAGGUAGCUUGAUCUAUGUAAGGGUUUUAAUUGACACGAUCCUUAUAUGAUCUAUGAUAUUUUAUUUGAUACUUGUCCAUUUGAUUUAUUUUUUUUUAAUAUGAUAAACAGCUAUCAAAUUGCGGGCUUAAAGGUUUAACUCACAAGGUUUUUGCUCUGAUGAACCCUCAAAACAAUUUAUUAGGAAAAAAAUUAACUAAAUAUAAUGUUUAUUAUGAAAUUAUUAUCUAAUUGAAAAACAUGCUUGAAAAUAUAGAAAAAUCAAACAGACAAAACUUUGAAUCUAAUUACAUUAUAGUAUUAUUUUAUUCAAUUUGGUGACCCAAUUUCGGCUGCUUGCCUCUCAUAAUUUCUUGGAAAAUAAUAAUCCGACCAAAUCAUAAACAAUAAUUCAUAACUGCUGUAAACAACAUCACAUAAAGUAAUUUGAUACAUUGCACAACAAUCUUGAUGUUAUUAUUUGAGAAGCCUUUAAAAAAGUUAAUUAGGCCCCUCAAAUGCUUAUCCCACUUUGAAUGACUCGAUCUAACAAAUUGAUACUAAAUUUAUUGAUAAUGAGAUUUAAUUUUCCAUAUAACAGUCUUUAUCAAAUAACUAGUUCAUCAAACUGUACCUUGAUUUAAUUUGAUUUCUUAAUAGGAACCAAGCUUGUGGCAGAGGAAGGAAUUGCUUUGGUGUUGAUGGUGGUGGUUUUGGGCUGUUUUGGCUCGUUCGAUUCGUCGGUAUUUCGGGAUUUCACCAAAGGAAUUUGCUGUUGAGUAGAGAUGUCCCGACCGGCAAACUUUUGAGGAGGAAAGAAGAAAUCAGUGGGGAAGAAUUUAUAUUGAAGUCCAGCCAUGGAUGUAUAGAAAUGAGUUAUUUGAGAGUAUAG